rnacentral:rRNA from 1 species
AACGAACGCUGGCGGCAUGCCUAACACAUGCAAGUCGAACGAGACCUUCGGGUCUAGUGGCGCACGGGUGCGUAACGCGUGGGAACCUGCCUUUAGGUUCGGAAUAACUCAGAGAAAUUUGAGCUAAUACCGGAUGAUGUCUUCGGACCAAAGAUUUAUCGCCUUUAGAUGCGCCCGCGUUGGAUUAGCUAGUUGGUGGGGUAAAGGCCUACCAAGGCGACGAUCCAUAGCUGGUCUGAGAGGAUGAUCAGCCACACUGGGACUGAGACACGGCCCAGACUCCUACGGGAGGCAGCAGUGGGGAAUAUUGGACAAUGGGCGAAAGCCUGAUCCAGCAAUGCCGCGUGAGUGAUGAAGGCCUUAGGGUUGUAAAGCUCUUUUACCCGAGAUGAUAAUGACAGUAUCGGGAGAAUAAGCUCCGGCUAACUCCGUG